AACGAACGCUGGCGGCAUGCCUAACACAUGCAAGUCGAACGAGACCUUCGGGUCUAUUGGCGCACGGGUGCGUAACGCGUGGGAACCUGCCCUUAUGUUCGGAAUAACUCCCCGAAAGGGGUGCUAAUACGGGAUAAUGUCUUCGGACCAAUGAUUUAUCGCCAUUGGAUGUUCCCGCGUUGGAUUAGCUAGUUGGUAGGGUAAUAGCCUACCAAGGCGACGAUCCAUAGCUGGUCUGAGAGGAUGAUCAGCCACACUGGGACUGAGACACGGCCCAGAAUCCUACGGGAGGCAGCAGUGGGGAAUAUUGGACCAUGGGCGAAAGCAUGAUCCAGCAAUGCCGCGUGAGUGAUGAAGGCCUUAGGGUUGUAAAGCUCUUUUAACCGGGAUGAUAAUGACAGUACCGGGAGAAUAAGCCCCGGCUAACUACGUG
rnacentral:rRNA from 1 species